AUUGAACGCUGGCGGCAUGCUUUACGCAUGCAAGUCGAACGGCAGCGCGGGCUUCGGCCUGGCGGCGAGUGGCGAACGGGUGAGUAAUACAUCGGAACGUGCCCAGUAGUGGGGGAUAGCCCGGCGAAAGCCGGAUUAAUACCGCAUACGACCUGAGGGUGAAAGCGGGGGAUCUUCGGACCUCGCGCUAUUGGAGCGGCCGAUGGCAGAUUAGCUAGUUGGUGGGGUAAAGGCCUACCAAGGCGACGAUCUGUAGCUGGUCUGAGAGGACGACCAGCCACACUGGGACUGAGACACGGCCCAGACUCCUACGGGAGGCAGCAGUGGGGAAUUUUGGACAAUGGGCGAAAGCCUGAUCCAGCAAUGCCGCGUGUGUGAUGAAGGCCUUCGGGUUGUAAAGCACUUUUGGCGGGAACGAAAAGGACUGUGCCAAUACCACGGUUCGAUGACGGUACCCGCAGAAUAAGCACCGGCUAACUACGUG
rnacentral:rRNA from 1 species